UCAUUAAAUCAUUUCCUUUGUAAAGUUAAUCAACCCUUUCUACCUUUAAGACUCAAACGCUUCAUUUGUUACCUCAAGUCCAGCAGAGUCCCAAUCAACUCAUAGAGCUUAAACUGACCACAAAUUAGUAUCCAAACGAACCUCAAUUUGUCUCUUUCAACUUUCUAAUUAAUCACCAAAAGUUUCACUUCUAUUGAGUUUUCCUUAAUGGAGGGGAUCCAUCUCUUUGUCCUCGACAACCUUCAAGGUCAAAGACUUUUACUUUUGGCGCAAUUGUCUUUUUCAAAGUGAAUCUGUCACCCAGAUUUUCAUGGUUACUCAUGCGAGAUAAUGUUUCAAGGUCACUGAGUGAAUGCAUUUCCAUCCACACCAAAUGUCUCUCAAAGUUAUCAUGACAUUCAGUUAAAUCGAGUCUGUCAUAUUUCAUAUUUGCUCAUCACUGAACAUCCAUGGAACUGGUUAUGUGUUGAUAAUGAAAUGAACCUUUAAUUAAACUUUAAAGGUCGAAGUGAGAAAUUGAAUAACAGGUAAACUCAUGAAUGUAAAUUUUUGGUACCAAAAGAAUAAAGAAAAUUAAGAUUAUCAAAUUUAAUUGUGUAACUGUAAACGAGUAAUUAUUAAUAGAAUCACUUUUGAUCAUAUUACCAUUUGAUUAAACGAUAGCCAAUUUUAAAAAUUGAAUAUCAAGUCGAGUGCUGAUUGAUCAACACUAAUUGGUAACAAUUAAUAUUAAUUACUAAAUUAGUUUACAUCUGUUUCAUUUUGAUAGUUAACGAUGAUAAUUCAAUUAACUGUUUCACAUUGAUGAGCUUCUACAUUAAAUUAAUGGUUAAUCAUUUAAAGUAACAUAAAUUAAUACAAUUAUCAUCAUGUCAACUGAAUUUAAUUGUGAUCCUUGUGAUCACAUUGAUACUGAUUCAGUAGUAAAGAAAUUAAUUGCUGGUAAAAGUUUGUAAUCACCGUUAUAGCCUCAUGUAAUAAUCAUUAUCAUGAUUAAGUAUUGAAAGAUUCUUGAUUUUAUUGAUCAGAAAUAGUAGAAAACAUUAAUUGUUGAACUAAAUUAAAAUCAUUGAAAUAGUUUAAUUCAGAUAAACUUUUCUUUCAAAUGAUUCCAAUGAACCAACAACAAUAUAACAAUUAUCUUUACAUGAAUACACAGAUAAUCACUGUAAUCAUCUCAACUAUUCAUGUUUUUUUCUUAAUCACAAUCAGAAUCUCAACUGUGAAGAGAAACUUUUCCCUGAAUGAAAGUGAAGCUACAAUGUAAUUCAAUCACAUGGAAUAGGAAAAGUUUCAAGAUGAACAGUAAUUAUAAUAAUCAACUUAUUCACUUUUUUAAACUUCAACUGAAUUUCUAAAAAAACUAAUGAUCAAGUAAAGUACAAAAUAAUUGUAUUAAUAACCAUGAAUCGAAUUAGAAAAAAAAGGAAACCAUGAUCAUGAUGAAGAGGGUGAAAAAUACGUUAGGAAACUUUUACCAGAGAUUGGAACUUUUGUUCGUCUAAUAUGAACAAAGAUAUUUCAUAUUCUUUUGAGUUCAUUAUUUGUUCAAUUUUCUUUUAAUUCAUCAUCAGAAUUCACUUCACUUUGUCCUCUCUCAUCUCCUGACACAGUUGAUUGAGAAAAUACUGUAAACAUUGUCAUCAUUCAGAACUUUCUCUCUAAUAACUGUGGUGUUCAUUUUCAAAUGAAUACUUAUCUUAUUGAUUUUCUCAGUACAAUUGAAUUUCUUAUUCUGCUUGAUAUUAUCGGUAAACUGAUUAUCAAUUAAUUAUCAAUGAGAUUUUUUCUUAUACAUUAUAAUUAAAGUGUUGGGAGGAUGAUUAAUAUAAUAGUAGCUUUCAAGUGGAUGAGGUUAACUGAAGAGGACCAGAAAGUGAAUUAACUUACAAUGAAUAACUGGUAACUGUGAUUAUACAAUGUGACAAGUUGAUUAAUUUAGUUGGAUCAUUAUCAUGACUAUGGUGACGAUAAUGAUUCACAUGAUGUGGAAUAACUGUUGAAUUAGGAUUAAUAGUCAGAGCCAAAUAAAAGGGUUCAAUGGAAGGCUGAAAUCUUCUGAUUAUUUAUAUAAAAACUAUUAUGUUGGUUUAAAGUUUUCUUACCUUUUCCUUACUUUUCAAUGGGUUUUGCUGUACUUGAGAUCAAAAGCAGAGAGAGAGAGAGAGAGAGAGAGAGAGAGAGAGAGAGAGCGAUAGAUGAUCUUGUAAUCUCAUGAGCUAUUACACUUUCAUCAUCAUGUUGUCAUGGACAAUGAAGGGUCAGUUAGGGACAAAAUAUGCGAUAAAUAAGCCUGAAUCAACUCAAGUUUUCCAUGUUAAUGAUGACGAUGAUUAUUUUGAUUCCAUUAUUAUCACUUCCCUUCAUCAAUCAAAUCACAGAUUUUUCCUUACUAUUUAUGACAGAAAAAGAUUCUGAAUAAUAAUGAUCCAAUUCAUCACAUUCCAAUAACAUAGUCAGUUUGUUAUCCAUCACUUACGAAAAUUAUUAAAAGAUAAAUCAUCCAACUUGAACAAAUUUCAAUUAAUAUCACUAAUAUACAACCGAUUACAAAGACAGCGAUUCAUUUUUAUCAUGUAAAAUCAACCAGAACAAAUUUUGCCGCCUUUCAGCUUUUGGAUCAUUUUCAAAGUAGUUGAUCAGUUUGGAUUAACAGUUUUCAUAGGUGUCUGGCGAAAACUAGUCUCUUGAUUCAAUCGAUUCAAUCAAUGAACAAAAUUCCAAGUGAUUGAAUUAAUUUACUCUAAUUAGUGCUGACAAAAUAUGAGUGGGUGAAAUGUUAUUAUCAUUAGGAAGUACCAUCAUUAUAAAAGUCACCGUCAUAAUUAAUUCAAUUAAAUUUUCUAUGUACUGAACUUUAGAUUUAAUUCAUUUUCUAUCAUUCAGUUGUACAUUGAAAUAGAUUGAAAAUAUUUUGAGAAAAGUUCUCAUGUGAUCCAUUUGAUUAUCAUGAUAAAUUGAUUAUUAUUCACCUUAAUAUUAUUAGUUGGAAACAUCAGUUUAAUAAUUGGAUUCUCAAACAUUUCACAAUUUCAUUGAAAUUGAAUAACUAAUAAUAGAGUUUAAUCUGGCUACUGGUUCAAUGAUUAUUAUGAUUAUUAAUAAUAACAACUUGAUAUUAUCAACAUGUUUCACCCUUUGGAUUCAUGGUGUUGAUUCAUUAUGCUUAUCGAUAAAGCGAAAGAACCAAAAACUAAUAACAAGUUACUUGAAUCUUUCAUGAUUAUGGUUGAUCCUGAACUUUGAUGCUGAACUGAAGGAAAUUGUGAAUCGAAAUUAUCAAAUAACUAGGGAAUGUGAAUGAAGAUAAUGAAGAAAAGGAUGAAAAUGGAUGAGUGAGCAUAAAGUUAUAUUUGAAGAAAGAUGCAAAUAAGAAAACUCAGAAUUCUGUAAAAAAGCAAAAGUCUGAAGAAAAAAAGUUUUGAUUUAUAAUCUUCAUAAUAAUAACAUUAACAAGAAAUGAAUUGAAGUCAAUGUUAACUUAUACAGAAGUAAUUGACUUGAAUUUCAGGCUUGAUCAUGAUGCUGAAGAUCAGGGUGAUGAAGAUGUUAACCAUGAUGAUUGAACUCGCAAUUUAACCUUGAGAAUGUGAAACAGAUUGAAUACUAUUAAUAAGAUGAAGGGGAUUGCGUUGGUUAAGAAGACAAUCAUCAUGAUAACUGUGAUGAGAUUGUUGAGAAAAUAAUGGUAACAUAAUUACAUUUUUAUCAAGUUUCAUCUUCUUAUUCAUUGAAAUUCAUGAAAGAUUCAAAAGUACAUGAAAACUACUUGAAAGUUUCAUCGACAAAAUUAACAUUCAACUUUAAUGAAUAUUAUAAACGAGGAGGAUUUAACUUGAUUGUCCUGAUUCAUUUCAUUGUAAUUUACUUCCUCAUUCAAGAAUCUCUCAACUCUUAUUAGUCACAAUUCUCUUCAUGGAUCAGAAUUAAUGUUCACAAUUAACUAUUCAACUCAACAAUCCAAUAAACAACAAUUUAAUUCACCUUGUAUUUACGAUUACAAGGUUAAUACCAUGUCAAUUGAAAUGAUGGUAAAUUUAAUUUAUUUUCAAUAAUAUAAUUUAUUUUUUCAUUCUUAUUCAUUUUUCUUAAUCUUUGAUGAUUAUAUUUAAAUAGCAUGAGUUCAAUACAUGAAUAAGUCAAUUACAUUGUUAUUAUUAUUUGAUUAUUGUUCAACUUUUUUCAUUAAUCAUGAACCAUUAAUUUACCUU